UACGAAGGGGGCUAGCGUUGCUCGGAAUCACUGGGCGUAAAGCGCACGUAGGCGGCUUUCUAAGUCAGGGGUGAAAUCCUGGAGCUCAACUCCAGAACUGCCUUUGAUACUGGAGAGCUUGAGUCCGGGAGAGGUGAGCGGAACUCCGAGUGUAGAGGUGAAAUUCGUAGAUAUUCGGAAGAACACCAGUGGCGAAGGCGGCUCACUGGCCCGGUACUGACGCUGAGGUGCGAAAGCGUGGGGAGCAAACAGGAUUAGAA
rnacentral:rRNA from 1 species